rnacentral:rRNA from 1 species
UACAGAGGUCUCAAGCGUUGUUCGGAUUCAUUGGGCGUAAAGGGUGCGUAGGUGGCGCCGGUAAGUCGGGUGUGAAAUUCGAUGCUUAACUCCGAAACUGCAUUCGAUACUGCGUGCUUGAGGACUGGAGAGGAGACUGGAAUUUACGGUGUAGCGGUGAAAUGCGUAGAUAUCGUAAGGAAGACCAGUGGCGAAGGCGGGUCUCUGGACAGUUCCUGACGCUGAGGCACGAAGGUCAGGGGAGCAAACGGG